rnacentral:rRNA from 1 species
GAUUAACGCUAGCGGCAGGCCUAAUACAUGCAAGUCGAACGGGAUUCAAAGUAGCAAUAUUUUGAUGAGAGUGGCGCACGGGUGAGUAACACGUAUGCAAUUUACCUUUAACUGGGGGAUAGCCCUCCGAAAGGAGGAUUAAUACCGCAUAAUAUAUUGAAAUGGCAUCAUUUUAAUAUUAAACCUACGGGGGUUAAAGAUGAGCAUGCAUCCGAUUAGCUAGUUGGUGUGGUAACGGCUCACCAAGGCAACGAUCGGUAGGGGGUCUGAGAGGAUGAUCCCCCACACUGGUACUGAGACACGGACCAGACUCCUACGGGAGGCAGCAGUAAGGAAUAUUGGACAAUGGAGGCAACUCUGAUCCAGCCAUGCCGCGUGAAGGAUUAAGGCCCUAUGGGUUGUAAACUUCUUUUAGACGGGACAAAACCCCUUUACGUGUAAAGGGUUGAUGGUACUGUCAGAAUAAGCAUCGGCUAACUUCGUGCCAGCAGCCGCGGUAAUGUGACG